rnacentral:rRNA from 1 species
AUUGAACGCUGGCGGCAGGCUUAACACAUGCAAGUCGAGCGAGCGGCGGACGGGUGAGUAAUGUCUGGGAAACUGCCUGAUGGAGGGGGAUAACUACUGGAAACGGUAGCUAAUACCGCAUACCAUCAGAUGUGCCCAGAUGGGAUUAGCUAGUAGGUGGGGUAAUGGCUCACCUGGGCGCCGAUCCCUAGCUGGUCUGAGAGGAUGACCAGCCAAACGGGAACGGAGACACGGUCCAGACUCCUCCGGGAGGCAGCAGUGGGGAAUAUUGCACAAUGGGCGCAAGCCGGAUGCAGCCAUGCCGCGUGUGUGAAGAAGGCUGUCGGGUUGUAAAGCACUUUCAGCGAGGAGGCGUUACUCGCAGAAGAAGCACCGGCUAACUCAGUGCCAGCAGCCGCGGUAAUAC